GACGAACGCUGGCGGCGUGCUUAACACAUGCAAGUCGAACGGAAAGGCCCUGCUUUUGUGGGGUGCUCGAGUGGCGAACGGGUGAGUAACACGUGAGUAACCUGCCCUUGACUUUGGGAUAACUUCAGGAAACUGGGGCUAAUACCGGAUAGGAGCUCCUGCUGCGUGGUGGGGGUUGGAGAGUUUCGGCGGUUGGGGAUGGUAUCGCGGCUUAUCAGCUUGUUGGUGGGGUAGUGGCUUACCAAGGCUUUGACGGGUAGCCGGCCUGGGAGGGGGACCGGCCACAUUGGGACUGAGAUACGGCCCAGACUCCUACGGGAGGCAGCAGUGGGGAAUAUUGCACAAUGGGCGGAAGCCUGAUGCAGCAACGCCGCGUGCGGGAUGACGGCCUUCGGGUUGUAAACCGCUUUCGCCUGUGACGAAGCGUGAGUGACGGUAAUGGGUAAAGAAGCACCGGCUAACUACGUG
rnacentral:rRNA from 1 species